UACGUAGGGGGCAAGCGUUGUCCGGAUUUAUUGGGCGUAAAGAGCGUGUAGGCGGCCAUGCAGGUCAGCUGUGAAAACUCGAGGCUCAACCUCGAGACGUCGGUUGAAACCGCAUGGCUAGAGUCCGGAAGAGGAGAGUGGAAUUCCCGGUGUAGCGGUGAAAUGCGCAGAUAUCGGGAAGACCCCCCGUGGCGAAGGCGGCUCUCUGGGACGGUACUGACGCUGAGACGCGAAAGCGUGGGGAGCGAACAGG
rnacentral:rRNA from 1 species